AGUCGAACGGAAGUCGUUGUAAUGAUAUAGACAUGGACGGAGAACUUGUUCAAAGAAAGUGAAAGUUGACUUACAACAAUGGCUUUAGUGGCGGACUGGUGAGUAACACGUAAGCAACCUGCCUAUCAGAGGGGAACAACAGUUAGAAAUGACUGCUAAUACCGCAUAUGCCUUAGCAACACAUGUUGCAAAAAGGGAAAGGAGCAAUCCGCUGAUAGAUGGGCUUGCGUCUGAUUAGAUAGUUGGUGGGGUAACGGCCUACCAAGUCGACGAUCAGUAGCCGGACUGAGAGGUUGAACGGCCACAUUGGGACUGAGAUACGGCCCAGACUCCUACGGGAGGCAGCAGUCGGGAAUAUUGCGCAAUGGAGGAAACUCUGACGCAGUGACGCCGCGUGCAGGAAGAAGGUUUUCGGAUUGUAAACUGCUUUAGACAGGGAAGAACAAAGACAGUACCUGUAGAAUAAGCUCCGGCUAACUACGUGCCAGCAGCCGCGGUAAUACGUAGGGAGCAAGCGUUAUCCGGAUUUAUUGGGUGUAAA
rnacentral:rRNA from 1 species